UUACUACUCCCUCCGUCCGAAAAUACUUGUCAUCAAAAUGGAUAAAAAGAGAUGUAUCUAGAACUAAAAUACAUCCAGAUACAUCCCCUUUUAUUCAUUUUAAUGACAAGUAUUUCCGGACGGAGGGAGUACUAC
rnacentral:pre_miRNA from 1 species